CGCCGGGCUCCUAAUUGUUUUUAAUUUGAGGAUAAUGACAAUAUCCUGAUUUUCCUACCCAACACUUUGGCUUCUGAAGUGACAUUUAUCUAAAAACUGCUGCAUUGUUCCAGGUAAUUUUAACAAAACGUACAGAUUUGUCAGCAGAACUAGACUUAGAAAUGACAUGAGAGGAAGAACAAGAAAAAUCUGAUGGAGAUGAAAAUAACCAUUCACAGCAUGCUUUGGAGCCGCAGUGUUGAGGCCAGACUUCCUGGGUUUGAACUCUGGGUCUGUUGGUGACCUGCUGUGGGCUUGGACACGGUCCUCAGUCUCUCUGUACCCCAUCUUUCCCCGUGUAGAGGACCUCAUGCAUUACCUCUCUUCGAGAAUCACUGUGAGGAUCAAAAGCGCCUUCA